rnacentral:misc_RNA from 1 species
AAUUGUGAAUUGCAUACAAAGGAUCGGUGAAACCGAAAUUGUUGUACGCCAAUCGGCAGGAUGGUCGACUUAUACAAUUUUCCGAUGCACAGAGAGCUAAUCUUCAAUUGCCAGCUGCGCUGAUCUUGAAAUUGCCACCGCCAAGGUUUUUCCGAUACUUUAGGAUGGAUUAUAAUUCUUCAUUUCCCGCCGCCAAAGUUCCUCUGAUCCGCGAUGGAACGUUUUUUCCGAUGAGCGACCGAGCAAAGAUUUCACCGAUACGAUAACUUCAGAG